rnacentral:tRNA from 1 species
AAGUAAGAAGCAAAAAAAUUUGCAAUCAGUUUCGACCUGAGAGUAAGAUAAAUACUAUCCUUAUUUA